UACGGCCAUAUUACGUUAAAACAUCGGUUCACAUACAAUCACCGAAAUUAAGUAACGUUGAGACUGGUCAGUACCUAGAUAGGUGACCGCGUAGGAAUACCAGGCGUUGUAAG